rnacentral:misc_RNA from 1 species
AAGUCGUAACAAGGUUUCCGUAGGUGAACCUGCGGAAGGAUCAUUAAAGAGAUAUCAAACCGACACUGUGCACCAAAAUAAAAGCCAAAAUAAAAGAUAGUAUAAGAAAUAAUUGUACAACUUUUAGCAACGGAUCUCUAGGUUCUC